rnacentral:rRNA from 1 species
UACGGGGGGGGCAAGCGUUGUUCGGAAUUACUGGGCGUAAAGGGCUCGUAGGCGGCCAACUAAGUCAGACGUGAAAUCCCCAGGCUUAACCUGGGAACUGCGUCUGAUACUGGAUGGCUUGAGUUCGGGAGAGGGAUGCAGAAUUCCAGGUGUAGCGGUGAAAUGCGUAGAUAUCUGGAGGAAUACCGGUGGCGAAGGCGGCAUCCUGGACCGACAUUGACGCUGAGGAGCGAAAGCUAGGGGAGCAAACGGG